rnacentral:rRNA from 1 species
UACGUAGGGUGCUAGCGUUGUUCGGAAUCAUUGGGCGUAAAGCGCGUGUAGGUGGUUAGUUAAGUCGGAUGUGAAAUCCCUGGGCUCAACCGAGGAAGUGCAUUCGAAACUAACUAGCUGGAAGAUGGUAGAGGAAGGUGGAAUUCCUAGUGUAGAGGUGAAAUUCGUAGAUAUUAGGAGGAAUACCGGUGGCGAAGGCGGCCUUCUGGACCAUUCUUGACACUGAGACGCGAAAGCGUGGGUAGCAAACAGG